GUUCUAUUCCGAGCCGCACUCGUUGCCAGUGUAACUUACGUGGUUCACUUGAACUUGUAUGUCACACUUGCAAUGAGAGCAGCUACGACUAGGAU